UAUCCGUAGGUGAACCUGCGGAUGGAUCAUUAACACAUCCCAUCAAAAAAAAAAAAAAGGAUCCAAACCAAACAUUUGGUUUCCUUUUUUUUUUUUAACCCACCCCACAAAGCGAAUUUUUUAACGUGAAGUUUCUCUGACUCUAUGUGGAUUUAGUCAUUUCAAGGAGUAACUUACCGUUCGUUUUUUUUUUUCACUCUUUUUCAUUCUUUUAAACCACACAAACUAAUCAAAUCAAAUUGACUUAAAACUUUUUUUUUCCCUUCCUCUUGACGAAAGUCUUUGAAGAAGAAAAAAAAAACACAAACAAACUAAUGUACAACUCUUAACAACGGAUAUCUUGGCUCUC
rnacentral:misc_RNA from 1 species